rnacentral:rRNA from 1 species
GAUGAACGCUGGCGGCGUGCCUAAUACAUGCAAGUCGAGCGAACAGACGAUGAGCUCGCUCCUCUGGCGUUAGCGGCGGACGGGUGAGUAACACGUGGAUAACCUCCUUAUAUGACUUGGGUAACUUCGGGAGGCCGUAGCUAAUAAUAGGUCAUAUAUUGAACCGGAGGGGUCAAUAGUUAAAGAUGGGUUUGGUGUGAGUUAUAGAUGGAUCCGCGUCGGAUUAGCUAGUUGGUAAGGUAACGGCUUACCAAGGAAACGGUGCGUAGCCGACCUGAGAGGGUGAUCGGCCACACGGGAACUGAGACACGGUCCAGACUCCUACGGGAGGCAGCAGUAGGGAAUCUUCCGCAAUGGGCGAAAGCCUGACGGGGCCACGCCGCGUGAGUGAUGAAGGUCUUCGGGUCGUAAAGCUCUUUUAUUAGGAAAGAACAUAUGUGUAAGUAACUAUGCACGUCUUGACGGUACCUAAAGAGAAAGCCCCGGCUAACUACGUG